GCGGGAGUAAUUCAGAGGCAGAAUGCCAGCUUCCCAAGCUGGACGUCGCGGGUUCGAUUCCCGUCUCCCGCUCCA
rnacentral:tRNA from 1 species